rnacentral:rRNA from 1 species
AACGCUGGCGGCAUGCUUUACACAUGCAAGUCGAACGGUAACAGGUCUUCGGAUGCUGACGAGUGGCGAACGGGUGAGUAAUACAUCGGAACGUGCCUAGUAGUGGGGGAUAACUACUCGAAAGAGUAGCUAAUACCGCAUGAGAUCUACGGAUGAAAGCGGGGGACCUUCGGGCCUUGUGCUACUAGAGCGGCUGAUGGCAGAUUAGGUAGUUGGUGGGGUAAAGGCUUACCAAGCCUGCGAUCUGUAGCUGGUCUGAGAGGACGACCAGCCACACUGGGACUGAGACACGGCCCAGACUCCUACGGGAGGCAGCAGUGGGGAAUUUUGGACAAUGGGCGAAAGCCUGAUCCAGCAAUGCCGCGUGCAGGAUGAAGGCCCUCGGGUUGUAAACUGCUUUUGUACGGAACGAAAAGCCUGGGGCUAAUAUCCCCGAGUCAUGACGGUACCGUAAGAAUAAGCACCGGCUAACUACGUGCCAGCAGCCGCGGUAAUACGUAGGGUGCAAGCGUUAAUCGGAAUUACUGGGCGUAAAGCGUGCGCAGGCGGUUUUGUAAGACAGUGGUGAAAUCCCCGGGCUCAACCUGGGAACUGCCAUUGUGACUGCAAGGCUGGGGUGCGGCAGAGGGGGAUGGAAUUCCGCGUGUAGCAGUGAAAUGCGUAGAUAUGCGGGGGAACACCGAUGGCGAAGGCAAUCCCCUGGGCCUGCACUGACGCUCAUGCACGAAAGCGUGGGGAGCUAACAGGAUUAGAUACCCUGGUAGUCC